rnacentral:rRNA from 1 species
UACGUAGGGUGCGAGCGUGUCCGGAAUUAUUGGGCGUAAAGGGCUCGUAGGCGGUUUGUCGCGUCGGGCGUGAAAUGCCGGGGCUCAACCCCGGGACUGCGUCCGAUACUUCCGAGCUGGAGGUAGGUAGGGGAGAUCGGAAUUCCUGGUGUAGCGGUGAAAUGACGCAGAUAUCAGGAGGAACACCGAUGGGCGAAGGCAGCCCCCUGGGCUAACACUGACGCUCAUGCACGAAAGCGUGGGGAGCAAACAGG